UUGGGUUACUUAGUGGCGGACGGGUGAGUAACGCGUGAGGAACCUGCCUUUCAGAGGGGGAUAACACCUGGAAACAGGUGCUAAUACCGCAUAAGCGCACAGGGCCGCAUGGCCCGGUGUGAAAAACUCCGGUGGUGUAAGAUGGACCCGCGUCUGAUUAGCUUGUUGGCGGGGUAGGGGCCCACCAAGGCGACGAUCAGUAGCCGGCCUGAGAGGGUGGACGGCCACAUUGGGACUGAGACACGGCCCAAACUCCUACGGAAGGCAGCAG
rnacentral:rRNA from 1 species